UAAUACGGGGGGUGCGAGCGUUAUUCGGAUUCAUUGGGCGUAAAGGGCGCGUAGGCGGCCGGGCAAGUCUGGUGUGAAAUCGCCACCGCUCAACGGGGCGACUGCAUUGGAAACUGCUUGGCUUGAGUGCUGGAGAGGUAAGUGGAAUGAGCGGUGUAGCGGUGGAAUGCGUAGAUAUCGCUCAGAACACCAGUGGCGAAGGCGACUUACUGGCCAGCAACUGACGCUGAGGCGCGAAAGCGUGGGGAGCAAACGGG
rnacentral:rRNA from 1 species